rnacentral:lncRNA from 1 species
GUAGGACCUCUCCGCUUCCUCCGAAACCCUUAUAGAAAGUCCUCUCAUCUAAGAAUCCAGUGUAUCAUUAUCGUGAACACUCGGGCAUAGCCAACUUGUGACCUGAAAUGCACUGUGUAGUGGAGAUCGGCCAAACCCCACUAGAAAAGACCCCCCAACCAGAUGAGGGGUGGGAGGAUGGACAGGCUAGCAGAAAUGUCAGCAGUGACCUUGUGACCAGACACAGCGCCAGGUGUACUCUGCCUGUGUCCUGCCUCUGGACCCAAACUUCCCUACUCCUCUUCCUCUUCCUCCCUAUGCUAAUUAACACGAGGGUUGACUGGUGAUAAA